rnacentral:lncRNA from 1 species
GUAUCCGUACCAGUUUCAUGUUUCCAUGCAUGUCACAUAGAAAACAGUAUCUUCAUGUGGCAAGUAUCUAAUGCAUAUACAUGAGUUAUAUUAUUUAUCGUAUUCACAUACUAAUAUAUUCAUGAUUUUUUUUUUGCAUUGUAGAGUUCUAACACGCUACAUUGGAGAGAAAGCGUUGAGAGAAUGCUUUGUUGGGAUGAUAGACAUGAAUAAUCAAUCCUGAAUCCUCAUUCCAAGGUUAGAUUUGUACUUCCUGCCCAGUUCUUUUUCACAAAGGACCAAGCCUCUUACUUUAUCCAUUUCUUAAUUUUGUUCCUUCACAGAAAAACAUUUUCUCAUUUCAAUCUUUCUCCAUUUCGUAUGAGUAUGACACACGCUCUGAAUUUUUUGACUAUUCUUGGUUGAUUAAUGGUUGGUGUAUUGCCUUCCACUUUGGAUUAUUCUAAAUCUUCUUGCUUAGGCUAUGUGUACCAUUCUGUCAUGUGCCACCAUUGAUCUGAGCAAAAAUCAGUGUAGAUGAACCGAGCUAUUUUAUUAUAAGCUGUGUACAGAACUUCCUGGAAAGAUAACCAUGUAGUUAUUGUUUUAUGCCGUAUAUAUUCAGAUAGGUGAAUUAUCGCAAGUUAGUCCCGGUAUGUUAAUAGGAUUGUGCCAACCUAGAGCCUUUUCAGAUCGUGCCAACUCUGUUUGGGGUUUCCUUCUACCUAAUCAAGGCUUAGCCCAGUUUGUCUUGUCCUUAUCUCCUUUUCUGUCAUAAAUUCUUCAUCUAUUCAAGAAGCUCAUUUUUGUUAGUUGGAACAACUGAAAAAAUCAUACUCCCCCCGUUCCUGUAUAUAAAGUCUAAUUGUUUUUUCAAAAGUCAAACGAGUGCAUGUUUGACCAAGUUUUUAGAAAAUAUAUUGAUAUCCACUAUACCAAAUUUAUAUCAUUCGAUCCGUCAUGAAAAGUAGUUUUAUAUUUUAUCUACUAGGUUUUUUAGAUGUUGAUAUUUUAUUCUAUAAUCUUGGUCAAACAUUCGAAUGGUUGACUUGGAGGAUAUCAAUACACCUUAUUUUAUGGAAUGGAGGGAGUAUCAUUCUUGGUGUGACGGACAAACAUAAAGAAAGGUCCGCAAAGAGUGCACUCACAAAAGCCAUGUACUGUAGGCCAUGAGUGAUUACCUUGAAAGCUUUCUCAUUGAGGCCAUAGUUCCAAACUAUACCAUCCUUUAAGAAACAUUCAAUCAGAAUUGGAGGAAAUGCCAUCCAUUGGGGUUCUGAAGUUCUGAACUUUGAUCUCUCUAUUUGAAUCGUUGUUAUUAUUUUGUCUGUAGGCCAUGAGCAAAUAAUCUGGAGAGUGCCUAAUGUUCCUCAACUUUUCUUAUGUUCCAAAUUCACUAUUAGUGUUGAUCAUCUUCAAAGAACAGAAAACGUAUGACAGGAUUAAGAUUGUAAUUUGUGCUCAUAUUUUUUUUCCAAAAUUCACUGCUUGAUUAAUUUUGUUGUAGAAGCUUGAGAGAAAAAGAUAGUAAAUACAUAGUAACUUUAUAUUGAUUUAAGAGUAAUAGCAACACACCUGCUUUUAACUAUAUAUAAAUAUCUCUAUAUUGUUCUAUACUGUCCGUCAGCAAGCGAGCGUUUGAAUUGCUGUUGAUGUGCAUUGUACAUGGGCUUGGCCACUUGGAUCGUGAGACGAGAUCGAUCGACUAGAUGCUUGUUUAUCUGUGUUGUUCUUAAUUUAACUUUGUGGAAGGUUGCGAGCCGAAUGCGUCAUCGACGAGGAGGUGAGUUUGGAUUUGGACGGUGAAGAUGAGAAGAUAGUUGGGGAGGAAGAAGGUAUAAAAUCAACAAUAUUGUCUGGUGUGCGUGAGGAUCCUAAUGAUACAUGUUUGACGUGAUCGUUGCUAACCUAAUAAGAUAUGCGGUGGCGCGAGGUGGUGGCAUAAAUGGGGUGGUUGUGCUGCAUGUCCAAGGCUGCACUAGGGAGGCGCGAGCGGUGCCUCCCGCAAGAUUCCAUUGGGGCGACGCAUGGGCGGC